rnacentral:lncRNA from 1 species
CAAUUCAUCAAUAUCUCUCAAUCUCUCUCAAGCUCUCUUCCAAUCUUUCUAGUGCAAGUGUUUAAUUUAUUGUUGCAAAUUCGUGAAACAUUGUGAAGUUGUCGAAUUGAAGUUUUCAAGUGUUCAAUUUCAACGAUUUUCAAUUUUCAAGAAGUUGUUCGUCAAUCCGAUAAACUCGUUUCAACUCUUACGUGCUAAGAA